UGAGUUUGAUCCUAGCUCAGAGCUAAUGCUAGCAGCAGGCCUAACACAUGCAAGUUGAGCAGAAUGACCUAGCGAUAGGUUGUUUAGCGGCAUACGGGUGAGUAAUGCGUAAAUAUCUGCCUCAUUCUAUGAGAUAAUACAAGGCAGCUUGUAUCAAUAUCAUAUGAUUCCUGUAUCAGGUAAAGAAGUGGUUUGGAAUGAGAUAAUCUUACGUUAGAUUAGCUAGUUGGUAAGGGUAAGAGCCUACCUAGGCAAUGAUCUAUAGCUGGUCUGGGAGGACGAACAGCCACAUUGGGACUGAGACACGGCCCAGACUCCUUUGGGAGGCAGCAGUGAGGAAUAUUGGACAAUGGGCGCAAGCCUGAUCCAGCUAUGUUGCGUGAGUGAUGACAGUUCCAUAUAAACAUGCCUCGGCACGUUGAAUUGUAAAACUCUUUUAUCAAUGUUCAUAGUGAUAUAAUUGAUGAAUAAGCUCCGGCCAACUCCGUGCCAGCAGCCGCGGUAAUACGGGGGGAGCAAGCGUUGCUCGGUUUAAUUGGGCGUAAAGCGCACUAAGGCUGUUUUAUAAGUUAAUAAUUAAAUCUUGAAGCUUAACUUCAUAUGAUUAUUAAUACUGUUUAACUAGAAUAUAAUGGGAGUGAACGGAAUUCCAAGUGUAGAGGUUAAAUUUGUUGAUAUUUGGAGGACCACCGGAGGCGAAGGCGGUUCACUAUGUUAUUAUUGACGCUUAAUUGUGCGAAAGCGUGGGUAGCAAACAGGAUUAGAUACCCUGGUAGUCCACGCUGUAAACGAUGAGUGCUAGCAGUUGAAAAUAGAAUUAUAUAGUUUUAUAUAAUUGCUAUAUGGUUUUGAUUGCACAGCUAACGCGUUAAGCACUCCGCCAGGGUAGUACGGUCGCAAGAUUGAAACCCAAAGGAAUUGACGGAGGCCCGUCCAAGCGGUGGAGCAUGUGGUUUAAUUCGAAACUACACGAAGAACCUUACCAGCCCUUGACAUUUUAGGCUAAGACAUUUAAUUAAAGUUAAUUAUCGUUUACCCUCUCUCCUUCCUCCCCUCCCUUCUUCCCCCCCCCGAGGGAAGAAGAAGGAGAAAGGGGAGGGGAGGAACAGGCCUUUAACAGGUGCUGCAUGGCUGUCGUCAGCUCGUGUCGUGAGAUAUACGGUUAAGUCCUAUAACGAGCGCAACCCUUAUCCCUAGUUGCUUAAAAUAUAAAUCAGCUCUCUAGGGUCACUGCUAAUUUAAAGUUAGAGGAAGGAGAGGAUAACGUCAAGUCAUCAUGGCCCUUAUGGGCUGGGCCACACACGUGCUACAAUGGCAAUACACAGAGAGUCGCAAUGCCGCGAGGCUGAGCAAAUCUUUUAAAACUUGUCUAAGUUCAGAUUGCACCUCUGUAAUUCGAGUGCAUGAAGUUGGAAUCGCUAGUAAUCGCGGAUCAGCAUGCCGCGGUGAAUACGUUCU
rnacentral:rRNA from 1 species